rnacentral:rRNA from 1 species
UACGGAGGAUCCGAGCGUUAUCCGGAUUUAUUGGGCUUAAAGGGAGCGUAGGUGGAUUGUUAAGUCAGUUGUGAAAGUUUGCGGCUCAACCGUAAAAUUGCAGUUGAAACUGGCAGUCUUGAGUACAGUAGAGGUGGGCGGAAUUCGUGGUGUAGCGGUGAAAUGCUUAGAUAUCACGAAGAACUCCGAUUGCGAAGGCAGCUCACUGGACUGCAACUGACACUGAGGCUCGAAAGUGUGGGUAUCAAACAGG